rnacentral:rRNA from 1 species
AUACGUAGGGUGCGAGCGUUGUCCGGAAUUACUGGGCGUAAAGAGCUCGUAGGUGGUUUGUCGCGUCGUCUGUGAAAUUCCGGGGCUUAACUCCGGGCGUGCAGGCGAUACGGGCAUAACUUGAGUACUGUAGGGGAGACUGGAAUUCCUGGUGUAGCGGUGAAAUGCGCAGAUAUCAGGAGGAACACCGGUGGCGAAGGCGGGUCUCUGGGCAGUAACUGACGCUGAGGAGCGAAAGCAUGGGUAGCGAACAGGAUUAGAUACCCUGGUAGUCCAUGCCGUAAACGGUGGGCGCUAGGUGUAGGGGUCUUCCACGACUUCUGUGCCGUAGCUAACGCAUUAAGCGCCCCGCCUGGGGAGUACGGCCGCAAGGUUGAAACUUAAAGGAAUUGACGGGG